UACGUAGGGUGCAAGCGUUGUCCGGAAUUAUUGGGCGUAAAGAGCUCGUAGGCGGUCUGUCACGUCGGCUGUGAAAACCCGAGGCUCAACCUCGGGCCUGCAGUCGAUACGGGCAAACUAGAGUACUGCAGGGGAGACUGGAAUUCCUGGUGUAGCGGUGAAAUGCGCAGAUAUCAGGAGGAACACCGGUGGCGAAGGCGGGUCUCUGGGCAGUAACUGACGCUGGAGGAGCGAAAGCGUGGGGAGC
rnacentral:rRNA from 1 species